rnacentral:rRNA from 1 species
UACGAAGGGGGCUAGCGUUGCUCGGAAUCACUGGGCGUAAAGCGCACGUAGGCGGAUUGCUAAGUCAGGGGUGAAAUCCUGGAGCUCAACUCCAGAACUGCCUUUGAUACUGGCGACCUUGAGUCCGGGAGAGGUGAGUGGGAACUGCGAGUGUAGAGGUGAAAUUCGUAGAUAUUCGCAAGAACACCAGUGGCGAAGGCGGCUCACUGGCCCGGUA